rnacentral:sRNA from 1 species
CAAAACAGGUACAGCAGAGGCAGCAGCAGUACAAGUUUCCCCAACUUCCUUGCCAACGGGCCUCCAAUCUGACCUGGAAGAACCACUUCUAGG